AUGGAUCCAGGAUUACGAGACGAUCGUCCGAGGCGUGAAAGUGGCUACUUCUCCCUGGGGAGGGCAGCGGGGGCCCGUUCGCUCCGUGACAGCAGCCCGCCUGCUCCUUUCCGCCAUUUUGAGAGAGGACAUCCCAUCUUCAGCCACAGAAGUGUAGAGCCCAAAGACACCAUCCCCUUCAGGAACCCCAACCUCGGCGUGGCGUCUGAAAGGCAGGUCCCGGACAACCUGGACGAGGACCUGCCGCUGGAGAUCCUUCCUCCUGACCCUUAUGAAGUCGCAGUUGAAGUCGAAGCCCAAGUCGGCCCCCGCUCACCAAGCCCGACCCCUUUUAAGAUCGCUGAGUCACUUGCCUCAAACACCCGAAAAAGGUUCAACAGUCCAGGAGCUCAAGGAACCUGGUCUUCUUCCCACCAGCCGGGACGCUUCGAGGCCUCGAGGCAAAGCUCAGCUCUGCAGUCUCGAUCUUCUUCCCCCUCCCGUGGAAGCUUAGCGUUCAGACGCAGCGAGUCGACGGCCUCCCUCAGCAGGCACGGCUUCGAUGAUGGAGGGAAGUUCAAAGGGGCGGAGCCAGGAAGGAGCUCACUGCAAAGCACCCGAUGCGUGGAGUCAGGAACUCUGCCACGGAACUUUAAAGCCUUCGCUGGUUCCGUCAAGUCCCAGUCCGGCAUGGUUUCUGACUUUAGGAGUGCUUUGAGGCGAACAGAAGCCAGUGGAUCUUUGAGCAGUCGCGGCUGUGAUCGCAGAAGCUCGCCCCCCUCCAGGAGGGAGUACAACCCUCCAGGCCAAAUGUCUCCUCGUAAAACCGAGAGCAGCAGCUCCUCUCCUGUCCGCCAACGCGCCGCUCGUACCUCCUCCCCACCCAGAGUGUCUGACAACAGAUCCUCACCCCCACGGAGAACCUUCGGUCCGUCCGCCCAAAGCUCCCUGCGUCAAUCUGAAUCGGUUACGUCCCUGAAUGGACACGGUCACUACGGACGCUGUGGUUCUCCAAUAAGGGAAGGCUACGACAUCGAAAGUCAGGCCCAGCUGAGACGUUCAGCGGGAAGGAAUGGACAGGACUAUGAGGAAUACGAACAGGACAGAAGUCACGAAGCACCAGGUCGAUCCAUACUCCGUAAGACGGAGGGCAGUACCAGAGGCAGCAACAGCCGAAGUCCUUCCCCUGGGAGAAGAGGACUUGAAGCUCCCGCUCGUUACCAACCCAAAAAAGCAAACAGCAGCAGCUUGUUGAACGUGCGCAGUCAUGAAGGCCGGAACUCGUCUCCGUCCAGACGGAGCCGCGAAGCUCCUUCUCUGCUGCGCACGUCUGAGCUCAACACGAACCGUGACAGCCACGCUUUGCUGCCAUCGCGGAGAAGCUAUGAUGCUCCUCAAGCGCGUUCACCGCACAGACCAGAACCAAGCAGAACCCUGAACAGCAGGACGCCUGACAGACACCGUUCUCCUCCCAGAACAGGCCCCAGGGACGCGCCGGGCUACUCGCUCCUGAGACACGCCACCAACGCAGACGCCGUUCGUUCCUCCCACAGGAGAGUGCCCUUCAGCGAGUCGGAGCCAGACUCUAAACACUCACCGCGGUCGUGGAGGGAAUCGACUCCCGCCCGCAGCGCUUCGCCCUCUAGACAGACCACAAAGAGCAGCAGAGUCACACUAGAACCGCAGAGGAGCCCCAGCAGGUACAGAUCUGGGGUCAGCAGACACUGCCCUUCUCCCGGGGACAGGACGCUCCCUCAGUCACCUCCCACGCAGAUGCGCAGACACACCUCCUCCCAGAGCUCCAUGGAGUCGUCCGAGUCCGGCCAGGUGUCGGUCGGGUCCACGGGCCGGAACAGGGAGGAGUACGCCACGAUGGCCGACCUGCCAAAGGUCAAGAGGAUCCAUCAGAUGGAGGAGCCCGGACACGUGGGGCCUCAGAGCCAGCUGUGCUCUCGUAGACAGGAGCUCUUUAAACCAGCCAGGUUGUGCUUCUGUGAUCAAAGUAAAUUCAUUCAUCUACAGGUUUAA
rnacentral:lncRNA from 1 species